CUGGGGAAAAUGCUCUCUUGAUGUGUAGAAAAAUCUGGCUGUGCUAUUUAGGAAGACAAAGUAGGAAAGGGUAACUUGAGGCAUGUUACUUCUGUAACUAUUUCAUCCUGUUUGUCCUGAUGCGGAGGUGCAGGUGUGCAGGGCAGUGGAGCUGCACCCGGCGGGCUGCGGUGCGGAGCGCGCUGGAUGGGGGCAUGGGAGCGCUGCUCAGCAUCCUGCUGAAAAGAGACACGCAGCAGCAGCUUUGUGGGAGGGCAGCAAGCCAGAAGAAGACAUCGUGGUGACACACCGCGGGACUCUUCAUGCAAGCCAAUGAUGUCUUUCCAGUUGCUUCUCCCCUAAAGAAAAACCUCAAUCUCUGUACAAAGACCUUAAUCUCUGAUGUGGAACUUCGUCAAAUGCUGUCUGGAAGUCUGAAGGCAGGCUGCCCACCGCGGGAAGUCACAAGUCCUCCUCCAAAAGCAGAGGUUUUCCAAGGGAACACAGAGAUAGAAAUUUUAUACAAAAUGGAACUGUUGGACAGGAGGUUUUCACCCAAUUUGCAGCAUCUACUGCAGAAGACCUCAAUAAUGCAUAAGAACAUCUGGAAGUACGGUAAUUUCAGCUAUCAGAGAUAAGAAUUGACACAAAACAGUGCUUUUUGGAGGGCAUUUCUGACAACUGGAAAUACUUACAUGAUCCAUGGUCCUGGAGGAGUUGGGCACAUCAAGCUGCGAUGGAUGACCACACUGCAUGUGGAGGUGGAAAACUCUACUGGAGAACUUGUUGCAAGGCUACAGGUUCUUCUGUGGGUGUUUCUUUACACGAUCUAAGGAAGUUAAGAUCUGAAAGAGGAGACAGGACAAUUGAAGUCUGGUGUUCUCAUUCAGAAAAGCAUUUAAGCAUAUCUUGGAGAUUUUAUAAUAGGCAGUGCCUAAGGGCAUCAGCAAAUGGCAGUAAAUAAUGUUAGGAAAGGGAUGGAGAAGACAUCUGCAGACGCUGCUGUCCCACUGGGCACAGGCAGACCCUGACAUCCUCAUGUCUGGAUUUGUGUGGACUGCUGUGGUCCUCUCAUCUCCUAACGGCCAGGAGAGCUGGAGGCUGGUCACUGAAAGCUGAUCAAAGAUGCUGGAAAUGACCAAGUGGGUUUGGGCUUCCAGGCUGGCUGGGAGACAGCUGAGGGCUGUAACAGAGGCUGCAGGUGGAAGCCAGCUCAGGCCUCCAGGUGCCUUUCAGGAGUCGAUUAUUCCCUGUUCCUAUGCAAGGACCAGAGGGCACUAUGCUUGCAGAAGGCAAGGCUCGGAGCAGGCAGGCACAAAGUGCUUCCCUCACACAAGAGGUAGCUAAACUGUGCUCCUCCUCGGUGCCACAAGUUUGUGCGGGUUCAAAUGGCAGCUGAGCGGGAUCGCUGAUGAGAUGAAGGCUAUUAAAUACAAAGGACUGACCUCUGCCUCAGGAAAUCCCUCAGCUGCAAAUAGUCAAAUUGCUGGGAAAGUGUUCUGGGGAAAUAUCACUGGAUGUUUGCUCUGUGCUUAAACUCUUCCCUGAGAUAGAUGGCUCUUUGAUAUAAGCCGGGACAGCCAUUCCUGUGCUUUGUUCAGGGCUUAUGUAUCUGUUCCUGGCAACUGACUUCAGUGGGAAUUAAACACCGCCGAAGUGGGCUCUGAGUGUAUUUCCUUGCACUCCGAGGUGAGGGUGAGCUGUUGGAAGGCGAUGUCCUCUUCCCUUUUGUUUUGUCCUGUUGGAGUCUCCCUGAUCAGGUCAAACUUUAGUGAGCUCACGUUCAAACCACGAGCGGUGAUACAGAACUCAGGCUGAGUAGAAGAUGAUGAGAAAGAAAAAAUGCAAGUACCAACAAAAUUAUAUCUACUGGAUGUUGUGUAUUUGUGCAUAUAGCAUGUGCGGUUAAAAUAAAAGUGAAUGCGAGAUUGUUAGCA
rnacentral:lncRNA from 1 species